rnacentral:rRNA from 1 species
GACGAACCGAGCGAACGUUGUUCGGAAUCACUGGGCUUAAAGGGUGCGUAGGUGGUGGGGUAAGUCGGAUGUGAAAUCUCCGAGCUCAACUCGGAAAUGGCAUUGGAUACUACUCUGCUCGAGGGUUGGAGGGGGGACUGGAAUGCUUGGUGUAGCAGUGAAAUGCAUAGAUAUCAAGCGGAACACCAGUGGCGAAGGCGAGUCCCUGGACAACUCCUGACACUGAGGCACGAAAGCUAGGGGAGCAAACAGG